rnacentral:tRNA from 1 species
GAAAUAAUCACAAAAUUAAGCUUCUAACUUAAAUUUAAGCGUUCAAUCGUUUUUAUUUCA